rnacentral:rRNA from 1 species
GAUGAACGCUGACAGAAUGCUUAACACAUGCAAGUCUUUGGCGAAGCUGUGCUUGCACAGCCUAGCCCGGGCGGACGGGUGAGUAACGCGUAAGGAACUUGCCCUGCAGUCAGGGAUAACAGACGGAAACGACUGAUAAGACCUGGUAAAGUCAGGCGGACUCAUGUCCAGCCUGAUGAAAAGAGAUGCUGCAGGAGAGCCUUGCGUCCUAUUAGCUUGUUGGUGGGGUAACGGCCCACCAAGGCGAUGAUAGGUAGCCGGCCUGAGAGGGUGGACGGCCACAAGGGGACUGAGAUACGGCCCUUACGCCUACGGGAGGCAGCAGUGGGGAAUAUUGGACAAUGGGGGCAACCCUGAUCCAGCAAUUCUGUGUGCACGAUGAAGGUUUUCGGAUUGUAAAGUGCUUUCAGCAGGGAAGAAAAAAAUGACGGUACCUGCAGAAGAAGCGACGGCUAAAUACGUG